GUAGGUGAACCUGCGGAAGGAUCAUUAACACGUAUCCAACGUUAAACAACCCUGUGAACUUUCAGACGCUCUUGUAGCCCAAGCGGAACAGCAAUCCCGGUAAAUCAAUGGGAAAGAGUUUUGAUUCGGGACCUCUGUCCAUCAGGUUACAAUCGUAGCUAGGAGCAGUUCCUGAAGCAGUGCCGAAGGAUGCACUGAGUAUGGAUAACGCAUCACGGUUGCUAGAGGUCGAUCACCGGCCGGCAGACAUGUCACAGGGCUACAUACCCCUUAAUUCACCCUUGCCUAAUCACGCCCCGCGGAAACGCCGGGCACUAAAAACCGAACAACUGUUAACAAUGGAUAUCUUGGUUCUC
rnacentral:misc_RNA from 1 species